CGUAGGGUCCGAGCGUUGUCCGGAAUUAUUGGGGCGUAAAGGGCUUGUAGGCGGUUUGUCGCGUCGGAAGUGAAACUCAGGGCUUAACCCUGAGCCUGCUUCCGAUACGGGCGAAACUAGAGGGAGUGCAGGGGAGGAACGGAAUUCCUGGUGGAGCGGUGGAAUGCGCAGAUAUCAGGAGGAACACCGGUGGCGAAGGCGGUUCUCUGGGCAUUACCUGACGCUGAGAAGCGAAAGCGUGGGGAGCAAACAGGCUU
rnacentral:rRNA from 1 species